rnacentral:rRNA from 1 species
UGGGGAAUAUUGCACAAUGGGCGCAAGCCUGAUGCAGCAAUGCCGCGUGUAUGAAGAAGGCCUCCGGGUUGUAAAGUACUUUCAGCGGGGAGGAAGGGAGUAAAGUUAAUACCUUUGCUCAUUGACGUUACCCGCAGAAGAGGCACCGGCUAACUCCGUGCCAGCAGCCGCGGGAAUACGGAGGGUGCAAGCGUUAAUCGGAAUUACUGGGCGUAAAGCGCACGCAGGCGGUUUGAUAAGUCAGAUGUGAAAUCCCCGGGCUCAACCUGGGAACUGCAUCUGAUACUGGCAAGCUUGAGUCUCGUAGAGGGGGGUAGAAUUCCAGGUGUAGCGGUGAAAUGCGUAGAGAUCUGAAGGAAUACCGGUGGCGAAGGCUGCCCCCUUGACGAAGACUGACGCUCAGGUGCGAAAGCGUGGGGAGCAAACAGG